rnacentral:rRNA from 1 species
AGCAGCCGCGGUAAUUCCAGCUCCAAUAGCGUAUAUUAAAGUUGUUGCAGUUAAAAAGCUCGUAGUUGAAUUUCGGGAUCAGUAGGUUGGUCAUGCCUUUGGUAUGUACUGGUCUCACUGAUUCCUCCUUCCUGAUGAACUGUAAUGCCAUUAAUUUGGUGUUGCAGGGAAACUGGACUGUUACUUUGAAAAAAUUUAGAGUGUUUAAAGCAAGCUAACGCUUGAAUACAUUAGCAUGGAAUAAUGAAAUAGGACGUUCGAUCCUAUUUUGUUGGUUUCUAGGAUUGACGUAAUGAUUAAUAGGGAUAGUUGGGGGGCAUUAGUAUUCAAUUGUCAGAGGUGAAAUUCUUGGAUUUAUUGAAGACUAACUACUGCGAAAGCAUUUGCCAAGGAUGUUUUCAUUAAUCAAGAACGAAAGUUAGGGGAUCGAAGACGAUCAGAUACCGUCGUAGUCUUAACCAUAAACUAUGCCGACUAGGGAUCGGAUGAUGUUAAUUUUUUAAUGACUCAUUCGGCGCCU